rnacentral:rRNA from 1 species
CGGGUGAGUAACACGUGGAUAGCCUACCUAUAAGACUGGGAUAACUUCGGGAAACCGGAGCUAAUACCGGAUAAUAUUUUGAACCGCAUGGUUCAAAAGUGAAAGACGGUCUUGCUGUCACUUAUAGAUGGAUCCGCGCUGCAUUAGCUAGUUGGUAAGGUAACGGCUUACCAAGGCAACGAUGCAUAGCCGACCUGAGAGGGUGAUCGGCCACACUGGAACUGAGACACGGUCCAG